rnacentral:rRNA from 1 species
CCUACGGGUGGCAGCAGUGGGGAAUAUUGGGCAAUGGGCGCAAGCCUGACCCAGCAACGCCGCGUGAAGGAAGAAGGCUCUCGGGUUGUAAACUUCUUUUAGGAGGGAAGAGCAGACGAGGGUACCUCUUGAAUAGGCCACGGCUAACUACGUGCCAGCAGCCUCGGUAAUACGUAGGUGGCAAGCGUUGUCCGGGUUUACUGGGUGUAACGGGCGUGCAUCCGGGAAGACAAGUCAGAUGGGAAAUCCCGCGGCUUAACCGCGGAACUGCAGUUGAAACUGUUUUUCUUGAGUACCGGAGAGGUCAUCGGAAUUCCUUGUGUAGCGGUGAAAUGCGUAGAUAUAAGGCAGAACACCAGUGGCGAAGGCGGAUUACUGGCCGGCAACUGACGGUGAGGCGCGAAAGCGUGGGGAGCAAACAGGAUUAGAUACCCGGGUAGUC